rnacentral:rRNA from 1 species
UACGGAGGGUGCAAGCGUUAUCCGGAUUUACUGGGUUUAAAGGGUGCGCAGGCGGAUAUGUAAGUCAGUGGUGAAAUCUCCGGGCUUAACCCGGAACUGCCGUUGGAUACUAUAUAUCUUGAAUGCUGUGGAGGUAAGCAGAAUAUGUCAUGUAGCGGUGAAAUGCUUAGAUAUGACAUAGAAUACCUAUUGCGAAGGCAGCUUACUACGCAGAUAUUGACGCUCAUGCACGAAAGCGUGGGGGAUCAAACAGG